rnacentral:rRNA from 1 species
GACGAACGCUGGCGGCGUGCUUAACACAUGCAAGUCGAACGGUAAGGCCCUUCGGGGUACACGAGUGGCGAACGGGUGAGUAACACGUGGGUGAUCUGCCCUGCACUUCGGGAUAAGCCUGGGAAACUGGGUCUAAUACCGGAUAGGACCACUGCCUGCAUGGGUGGUGGUGGAAAGCUUUUGCGGUGUGGGAUGGGCCCGCGGCCUAUCAGCUUGUUGGUGGGGUGACGGCCUACCAAGGCGACGACGGGUAGCCGGCCUGAGAGGGUGGCCGGCCACACUGGGACUGAGAUACGGCCCAGACUACUACGGGAGGCAGCAGUGGGGAAUAUUGCACAAUGGGCGCAAGCCUGAUGCAGCGACGCCGCGUGAGGGAUGACGGCCUUCGGGUUGUAAACCUCUUUCAGCACCGACGAAGCGCAAGUGACGGUAGGUGCAGAAGAAGGACCGGCCAACUACGUGCCAGCAGCCGCCGUAA